rnacentral:misc_RNA from 1 species
AACGGUAGUGCGAACCUUUCC